AAAAUAAAAACAAAACAAACUUUGUAUCUAUACUGUGAUCCAUCCGAUUAUCAGGAUAUACACAAGGCUAGAAAGAAUUCAUGCACAGUGACCAGGAAAUCAAUCUGUUACUUCUAACAUCUGGUUGCAAACAUUUCCUCCUGCAUUUCUUGAAUGCUACCUAAUGCUUUAACCAAAUUUUGUUUCUUUUCAACAUCCCACGUACUUAUAUGAUUAAAAGAACCCAGCACCCUGUCUUCUGCCCCAUAUGCACACCCACCACCAGGCCAACUUAAAAAUCUUCAAGAAUAUUAAUUAUUGUUAAUUAACACACCCUCUUUGAUACAUAAAUCUGCGUUGGGCAUCUAAAAAAGACCCCUGUAAUGUAAUUUACUGUGUAGGCAGUGACCCCAACAAAACCAAAGCAAUGCUUCUUCAAUGCAUACGAACAAGAAUUAAAUUAUCACUUUCUCGACAAGACUCACGGUCCUUAUUUUUUUACAAAAGGUGAUACAUUUUCCCAGGGCCAUGCAGAACAAAGGAAGGAUCUCCGCCACAGGGGCUCAAUUUGCCAAUCCCUUCGUUCCCCGAGGAAGGGCAGCGAAAGCCCCUUGGGUCACGGUGCUGGCAGACGAAGGGAAUCCUCUGCCGGCAGGAGCCGGCUGCCCAAGUUCAGCGGCACCCAGCGACUGGCUGCAACCCUCCGGAGGGCGCGGAUUUGGCAGCAGAGCUGCAUAGCUCGGAUGUACCAGGAGGCCUUCCCCCUCAUUUUACUCAGCUGUCCAUCGCAUUUGUAGAUAUAUGCAUUAGCAGGGCAGCAAAUGUCUGUUUGGGGGAUUGUAUUUGAUAGCCGAAGAGCUAUGCUCUGUUAAGCAGAGUGGGAUCUGGCGGUGAUAUGGGUCACUUGUGGUCACUUGUUCUUUACAUUCAAAUCAGUCAAACACGGUAUCAUAAAGGUCACUUUGCGCUGACACCAACAGCAGUUGAAAUUUCUCAGCAACAUGAAUGAAGCAAUGCAACAAUUCUGAAAUAUGGCUUAAUUGAUGACUGACACAUAAGCUUACUUUUCUGUGAUUUGUCUUAAGUUGGUUGUCUUAAAGCAAAUACAUAAAUUAAUUCUGGAAAUACAGAAAAAUAACACGGGACAGAAAAUGUCAGGCUAUCCAGAACAUUUGACAAUUUAAAUACAGAUAAACCCAACAGAAAAGAAUGAAUCAUCAUGUCGUAGCCUUUACUGUAAAAUAAAAUAUAUAGUUGUUGUCAAGGAAAGAAUAAUUUUAGUGCAUAAAGAAAAUGUCCAUUAUAAUGCAAAUGUACAUGGAAAAGAAAUGCUUACUCAUUAGUAAUGGAGAUUUACUUAGCUGUAAUUGAAAUAGGGAAUCUGUAUGUUGGAGAAUGUGACAAUCUGCUGUACAAUUAGCAUACCAUUAAGUAGGAGAUGUAGAAGCACAUACUGACAGUGAAAUUAACAAUAACUUAGAGGUCACAACUGGAACAAUUAGGUCACUCCCAUACCUUACCAAGCCCAUAAUUAUUGAAGAAAAAAGAAAAAAAAAGUAAAAACAAACAGUACAUUUUUAUUUUCCUAUAAUUUCUAAGUAGUCAUAGCACAUGAAAACAACAUAACCUCCUCUUUAGAUUUUGUCUAAAAGGACCACUUUGCCUUUUUAUAAUGCAUAUGCCAUUAACAUAACUCAUUUCUUACCUGUUAAUCUGUUUUCUCCAAGUCCCUUAAUGGUAGCCCAGAUACUCGGUAAUAAGUCACUCUACUAUCAGGUGGAGAGAGGAAAAGGGAGGGGGGAAAAAGGCAAAACUAUUCUUGAAAUUCCCCUUUAUGGGGAUUUGCUGGUUUCACACUGUUGAACUAGAUUUCCCAAGCCAUCCAAAUUAUGGCUAUCCUUUGGACCCAAACAGUAAGCUAAAAAAAAAAAAAAGGGUCACAUAGAUGGGAAAAACAAUUAUAAGUCAGUUAUUUCUUUGGCGCAAUCAUGUUUAUUUAUGAAUAACAUACAUACAGUUCUGUUGUCCUAAAUUCAGUAUGACGCAAACGAAGGAAAGCAUUUUCCAUGGAGCUCAUGGUUCCCAGCCUUUUCCUGUGUGGCACUUUGUCCCAUAGCCCUCUUUCAACUUUUUUUUUUCCAGGUGUUCUGUUUCAAGUGCUUCUCCAGAGUUUCUUUGCUGCUUACCUAUGUGCUGCUGUGGUGUUUCUCAAUAACUCUCAUACACACUCAUGCACACACAGCUCCUUCCAGAUCACUGUAUAUUUAUUCAGACCUACCUGUGUGCAAAGUCAUGGUCAGCCCUGUACAGUGUCUGCGUUUUAAACAGUCCCGACAGCUCCAGCUGUCUAACUAAUAAAGAACUUAAAACAGCUUUUUUUAACAUUUAGUCUAGAGGAAGAGUAUUAGCGGAUACACUGUAAGAUUUCACCCAGACUGUAUCAUAACAACACUUUUGGUCUGUCACAGUACAGGAAUCUAGAAUGGCAACGAGGUCCAAGCUAGCAGAAAGAAGUCAUUUCCAAAAUAAAACCUAUUUGAAAAUAGUAGCAUGCUAUAUUUAUUUCAAGACAUUUUCAAAUCACCAAUCCAAAACUUUAGUGGAAUCUUUUCCUGAUUAUUUUGUAACCCUUUAAAAACUGGAAAGAAUCUCAAUGAAUGAGUUCCUAUGAUUCCUCUGACAUCUAAUGAGAUAAUUGGCCUAUGCUCAAUUUAAAGAUGUUAUUCCCGAGGCAAAUGUUCUGGAUUCAGUUUCUUCAGGUGUAUUUCAGGAUUCAGGAACAGUCACAAGGAACACUUCUUUCCUUUGAUUCCUUCAGCUAAGGGAGAAGCUUUUAAAGUUUUGGAUUCUGCUGUUCAUGUCUCUUAGUUGGCUUUCAGUAACACUUCACCAGAAUCAAACAGAGGUUGACUACCAGUCUGCAUCAAGCAGACAGAUACAUCAAAAGAAAUGCCUCCCACAAGGACUACACAUUCCUUUUUCACAUCUUGCGUUUUGCAACCUAUAUCCAUCAUCAUCUGCUGGUGGGAAGAACUUCCUAUCUUCUAUACUUAAUCUUUCAUAUUUCAAACUUCCUGAGGUAAAUGGAAAGCCUUUGUUAUGAUAGCAAGAGGUGGUACUGCAUUCUAGCAUGAAUGUAUCUACAAUGCCAUCCCUCAAUCAAACUUUGCUUCAGUAUCUGAGUCCUCUCCUUAAGAGGUCCCAAUGCUGCACUUUAAACAAAACCCCAAAGCAAUAGCUAUUUCUAAACAAAUUUUCCAUUGUUAAUCUACCUGUUCCUUUCUGUCUUUUUCAGGCAGCAUCCAAGCUUUUCCUAUCCAAACUUUUUGACUACACGAGCUUUGCUACAGGUCCUAGCCUGCUGUGAGAGCAGUCUUCCUCCUGCCCUUUGGGUCAGCCUUCUCUUCAUGACACAACAUCCUCGGCUCCAUCUAUUUCUCAGUGAGCAAGAAUCCUCCUGUAAACUUGCAUUCAGUACCCCACUGAAUCUGCUCUUCUCUUUUCUUCAUCACAGCGACAGGUAAGGCUCAGAACUGAAGAAGGCAAGAUUAAUUGCUUGAUGGCUCAGAGGACUUAUCCAUCUCUGCAGCAGAUAAAUAGUGAGCUAGCUGUUUAAUAAAGUAUUUCCCUUUUAUCAUUGCUGUACAGGAUCCAUACUUGAUCAGGAUGAUUGCUUUACAGUGAUAAAGCUUCUUAGAUCAUCCCAUGUCUUACAUUUAACGUUAGAGUAAAUUCAGCAUCAAAGUAAGCUCAUUUUCUCCCCAGUAGUUUCCUUGUAUAUACGUAUUUACUAAACACAUUGGCUCCUGUUUUGCUUGGUAUUUUUUUUCCUGCUGCUUUUGCUCAUCAGAAGUGCUCAGCAAAUAAGCAAGCAUCCAUCUCUCCUUCAAAGCCAAAAAGAUGUCAGCAGCUAGAAUUCCUUUAUGAAAACUGUUUCACUUUAUCUUCUCCUUCCUUUUCUAAAACCCUACUGCAGCAAGUAGCUACAAUGAUCUGUGCUUUUACAGACAGGAUAAUCUGUCCAUUGCAAAUCAGUUGCCUUUUUAUAGAUCCUUUCCUUUGAUGACCUGGGCUUCAUCUUUAAAAUGGAUUUCCACAAACUGACUUUGUAGGACACUUUGUGGUAUUCAUUACUUACACUUUAUCACAAAAAGAAAUCCAAAGCAAUAACGACUUCAUAUGUCCUCACAACUACCUAGUCAUCUUGCUUAACCUCAAGUACUUUAUUUAUUUAUUAUGGCUCAUUUUAUACGGAUUUUCAGAAUAUCAGCCAACAACUAAUUUGUUCCAUUAUUUUUAAUUUCUCUCACUUUAGAGAUCAUUUUUAUCCUGAAAAGAACAUCAAAUCAUCAGUCAGAAGACAGACCAAAAUCUCUUUCUCCGUAAUAUGUAUUAAACACAGAUGCAUUUAUAGGCUCAUGAUAAUCCAUUUUCAUUUUCUUCACUGAUAACUGCUUCCAGUUCUGAUGCACACAUGCAAGAAGACUCAGGUUCUGCAGUGAAUUCCAGAGCCUCUCUGUACUCUUUUGGCUUUCUUUCAUUGAGUUUAAUCUGCAAGCCCAAGUUUGUCUAAUUAAUUUAUUGCCAGUUUGUCUUAGAAGUCUUCUGAUUCUGGCAGAAACCGCCGAAGUCUUCUCUGGAUGCCCGCCACGACAGGUAGAUUUUUAUUCCCUCUCCUAUCUUGUAGUUAUGUUCUGGCCAGUUCAAGGUGAUUGGCUCCAAAGUACAGAGCCUGUCUCUAACUCCCAGAGCUAAUGAAGAAGGGAACUUUUUCCAAGAAGUGUAGUAGCAUGCCAGCAGCCAAAACAACUGCUAAAAUCCCUCUGUGUUUAUCUUCUCAGCCUAUGAGCUGUGUUCCUGAAGCAAUGAAUAAAUCUCAGUUUCCCUCCCCAGAAGAUCACGUUUGGGUAGCAGUAGUAUACAUUAUUUGAGGUGAGGCAAUGCGAGCAUUCUCCUCCAGGAUAUUAGAAAUAGAAUAUGAUCUUAAAUGAAAAUAAUUUUUUUCCUUCUUUGCGUUCCAAGUGAGUUCAAGGUUAAUAGAAACUUGCAACUUAUCUGCUCAGAAACUGGAUUCACUUCUGCUAUUAAUGUCACCAUUUUUUACUUAGGUUGAACCAAGAGGAGGUUUGUAGGCUGUUUUCAUUAGGGAGAUAAAUCAGUGAUGGAGUGAAGUAUUUAUUAGGUGCAGUGCCUUUUAUUUCCACAUUAUGUAUGUGAAGGUUUUGUUCAUUUUAGACACAGGAUGAAUCCAGAUCAGGAAAAAAGAAACAAAAAACAAAAACCAACCAUUACUUCCUUGUAGUUCCAAGCCUCUUUCCAAGAAGCACUGUGCACAAAAAGGCUCGCCCUCCACCCUUCUUUCUUAGCAUAUGUUUACAUUGCUUUCCUGGCCAUAUCUUCUCCAUGAGAUUUUGUAGUGUUUUUCUAGUUGAUGUUUCUGCACACACAGUUUCCUCAAACAAUAGUCCAACCUUUUUUAUCUGAACCAACAACAAAAUUUCCUACAUAACUCCAACUUCUUGUCCUUUUCCCCUGUGUCAUAGGUGUGGCUGGUACGGCUCCAGCUGUCAGUGAUAUGAAAUAAUGAGAUCUGCAUUUAUUGUGAAUGAAGCAUGAAUGUUAAUAAGUUAAUCAGCUUCAACAAAGCUUCAUUCAGUGACCAGCAUGGCAUCACAAGAACCAAAGUAACUGCCAGAGAUGCACAGCAGUUUGCAUCUACAAACUGAAUGAAAAUAAUGCUACCAUGUCAGGGUUGGCACAAAAGAAGUGAAAAACAACAACAAUAAACAAACAAACAAAAAACACAAAAUGCAUAUUUUCAGAACAAGCUCAAGAUGGGCUGGUCUAAGUCAUCUAAUCUAUUAAAAUAAUUUGAGUCCCAUGGGGGAAGUGUUACAUGCACUAGUUUGACUAGUCUGCUUCAAACCUGUAAGUAAAUUACCAUUCUCCUGAACACCCUUUCAGGCAGCAAAAACAUUUUGUGAAAUCUGUGAACAACAACAUCAGUAUCUCAACUACAGAGCAGUGAGUGAAAACCUUAAAGAAGAAAACAGCACUAGACAAUGAAUUUUUAACAGUCAAGUUGGUAAAGCUGGGAGAUGCAAGCGAAGAUACUGAUAGGAUUGUUUCACCAGUAAGUAUCAUCUCUUAGCUAUGCAAUUAGGUGGACUCUUUCACUAUUAUCUUUGGUAGUGUGAAGAUCCUCAAACAAUGUGAGCUUCUGCACUGACAUUCAGUAGGUAGAGGUACUUUCUUUUUAGGGGAUGAAAAUUAAGGAGGGUUUAGAGGGAAGAAGAGUGGAGGGAAGAAAUACUCCUGAAUGCACAGGAAAAGAAAAACAAAGUUGGAAAAGGAAUGCACAGAAUUGUUCAUGAUUCUUAACCUGUCUGGGGAAAAAAAGGCCACUGGAAAGACAGUGAGGCCAUUCUCAUGCGUUACAUGCUAAUAGUCUUAAAGUAAAGACAAAAGAGGGCCUUGGGUUUAACACAAGAGUAUAAUAUUUCUCAUCAAUAAAGUGGGAGUUCGAAGGUCCACUUUGCUUCUCAAAGACAAAAUAGUCUAUGCUUUGAUUUGAUGACUUGAAAAAAUGUGUUUUUCUGAACUUUCACAAAUCCACACCAGGAUAUUACAUUAGUGGACACUUAUUUUUGCUCAGUAAUAAGUAUAAUUUUAUGCUAGUGCACUUUAUGAUAAUAAUUUGCUAGAAAAAAUCCUUUGCUUUUAGUGCACAGUGAUUGAUAUGAUGCUGUUCUCUUGGCAAAAUAAGCUCUGAAUGAUGGGACCUUAAGAGGACGAAAAGACAGACAGCAAAGAAAGAGUCAAAGAACCCCAGAUGCUCAUUUCCCUUGAGUGCCCUUGUGUGACCAUACUGAUAGGUGCCCUGAGCCUCAAAGUCUCAUACUUUCCCUGAGGUGUUGAAUAAGAGAUGGAAGCCAGUCUGAACUUUUCUCUCCCUAAACUACAUUCAUUAACUCUUUGGAUCAGUGCAUAGCAGAUGUAAAGAACACUGGUUCUUUCAAAAUAACUAAGAAUCUCUCUGGAAAGUUCCAGCCUGGAAAAUCCCCAAUUGGUUACAACAUGAAAGGAACAAUAACUGUCAUGGUUUGGGCUGUGUUUGGCUUUGGAUCAGUGAAUUCAUACAGGACUUCAGAUUCAAGGCAAUACAGAUGGAGAAGACAAAUAGAUUUUUUUUUUAAAUAUUGAAGAAAAUUUUUCUUCAUUUGGUAUGACAUGCUCUUCCUCUUUGUGCUCUCUGGUAGUAAGAGCAUUCAUGAUGAAACCACUGGCUGUCACUAUUGCUGUUUCAUAUUAUCCUUCUGCCCCUAAGUGAAAUGAAUGGGAUGCACAUUAAAAUCAUUGCUCAGCCUAGUUAGUUAGAAGCCCCUGGUAUGCUAGCAAUAACUGGUAGCUAUGUAGUUGUUUUGUUUUGUUUUAAAUUUAAAGUGGAUUUGAUGCCGGAAAAAAUUGAAACCCUCACAGUGACCAUUGUUAAGCUUUUCACAAUUAUCUUCAUAUUUAUGGAGAGACUCAAGAUGACAUAGCCAGUUCAAAACAGCUUCUGGCUACCUAGCAUAGAAAAAUCAAUACAAUUACAAAAGCAAUUAAGCAUAGCAAGUAAGAAACCCAGACGUUGCUCAAUCUAAAGCAACUUACAUUAACACAAACAUAACAAACAAAAUACUCCUUUCCUGUAGAUUGAUCCUAGCAAAAAUGAAGCGGCAGCACAUCAAAUCACAAUAAUCACUGAGUGUGUGCCUAGGGUUAACAAAAUAACCUAUAAAACUCACGGUGCUGGCAGUGGGUUACAACAAAGGUUAAAAUGAUGGUAAAGCAGACAGUGUGAAGAGAUGGAUUAUUUACACAGACUUGAGACUUGAAAGUAUCCGGAGUUACUUGGAGCAAGCACCAGUACUUUCUAAAUACAAAAUAUCAGAAAAUCCCCAGUAUGAGUUAGCAAGUUCUGAAUACAGGACUGGGGAAAAUCACAUUCUUCUAAGGUUUUCUUCGAACAGGAAAGCAAGCAAACUGCCCCUCCAAAUCACAUGCUCUUCCACUAAACUAAAAAAUCUUUACAAGGGAAGAAUUGGAGAGACAACAAUUUAGAGAUUUGGAGAGGACCAAGUGCACAGAAAAAUAAUUGCAACUAAAGCCCAAAGUCAGACUUAACUGGCCACAAGAGUUGCUGGCUCUUUCCAUAAGCAAUCAUUUAAAUGAUCAGAAAAUAGACCUCUAUAAAAGAGCGAUCUCUCAAAAACAUGAGUACCUUUGAUUUAUUUUGUCAGUGAAGAAACAGCUCCAAGUGCCUUAACUAAGUGUGAAGCCAUGCUCUUCACAUCUCCGUAGAGAAUUUGGCCACUAUGAACUUUAAACCAUAGCAGUGCUAUGAGAUAAGUUGCAUUCAAAUGCAAACAAUGGAACUUGUGUUACUAACAGAUCUCCAUUUUAGAAGAACACAAUAUUGUCUAGCUUUAUGAACACGUGUAAAUUGAAAUUAUACAUUCAUAAUGCCUCUCGCUGGGUCACUGCAGUUUUAUGACUUUAAUCAUGAGGAGAAGAAUUAGCGCAUUAAAUGCUGAAAAUAGCUCCAUGCACACUGUCUGUAGAAAAAUCAAAAAUAUGUAAAUGAGUAAGACAUACCAACACUAAGAACUAUAGCUAAACCCCCAUAAAGCUACAUGGCAUUGGUGCUUUAAUACAGUUUCAUUCAUUAGGAUUAGACUGACCACUAUUUUACAAAGAUAGAAGUACAUAAAAAUCAUGGCAUGACUAAAAACAUAAAUGAAUAGGUAAGGACAUUCAUUACUAUUUUCUUCAACAACUACACUCCCCUUGUAUUUAUUUGCAUUGACAGCAUCAUUAACAACACUUAUUUGCAAUUUUUUUUCUAAACCCAAAGAGCAAAGAGAUCAUUUCUUUUUUGUUGAUAAUAAAUAACACUUCCAAAUUCCAAAAGUUCUGUGAGAAAUAGAAAUAAAGCUUUAGAAAGGAAAAGUAAACGUCCAUUACCAGAUUUCAGGACUGACAUUUCCCUUGCAAGGCAAGAAGCUGCAGAGAUUUUGUUGAAUUGCAUAAGAAUGUCAUUGACAAACAGUGAAAAUGCAAAAUUACUAACUAAAAUGCUGGAUAACAAUGGAAAAUAAUUUCUUCUCUCAUUUAUUUUGUGGCAAAUGCAUUAAUCAUCUGCAAGAUGAGAAAGCCUGUAAGAUGAGAACACAUUUUGAAAAUUUGCAAAACAUCUGUACAGAUGGUAAAUGAGCAAACAAAAUGAGUAGCUGCACAAGCCCAGGAAGUAAAAUAUUUGCAGCAAAGUUCUUGCAUAGCUACCAACCCUUCAAUAUUUGUUGGAAUAUAGUAUGUUUGGCAACUGAUUCCAUACAUUAAAUUAGUUUUAGUAACAUAUAUAAAAAUCUCUCUCCUAUAUAUAUCUGAGAGAAAAAGAGGACAAUUUUAUGCUGUUUUAAAUCUGAUCAUUCUUUUUUUUCCAGUUUUUCAGAACAUUCAUUUUCACAUGACUGUCCCUUUUGAAAGCGCCUCCUCCUGAUGCCCCCAAACUGUUUUAUCUUUGCACAUCAGCUAGCUCUUUUGUAUGACAUGUCUAAGUACAGGAUACUUCGCUUCUUCUUCACUUUUUUUUUUUUUCUUUUAAACCACAGCUUCUUCAACAUAUUGAUAGAUCAAUGAUAACAAAAGAGCAUUUUUUUUAAUAACACUUUCCUGUGAAGGUUGAAAGUAACCCUGUCAGAGAUCAUGUCUUCACUGCAUAAAUCUAUCAUUAUGUCAACCUACUGGAUAGGGGCAAAUGUUUGGAAAUACAUAAGCAACCACCACAGACUAUCUAAUGAAUCUUUCCCAAACAGAGCUGUGCUUUCAUAAUCCACAUGCUUUUAAUUAUUGUUAACCAUUGAGCAAUCAAUCCACAGUUGUCAUUAAAACCAGUACUUUCAGGCCUUGUGGCAGCCUGUAGUCAGGUACCUACAUAAAUUAAACAGGUGCUCAGCGGUACCUGAACAGACAAUUCAUUCGUUUAUUUGAAUAUGGAUUUAAAAUGAUAAGAUUAAGGUCAAAAACUUCAAAAAUUUAAAAAUUAAAUAAUUAAAAAAAAAAGCAAAUCAUCAAGCAAAUAUUCAGAUGAAAAGUGUCUAGGGAGGAACGUGAAGAAUGUCUCCCUUUGCUAACUCCUUGAAACAGGUGGUUCUUAGUGCUAUUCAUUGAGCAUGGUGCCAGAAAACAAGCUAAAAUCCAAUGGCAUUUUUUGCACUGAUGUGGGGGAUCAGUCCUCCAGUCUUUCAUUUUAUGAGCUUUCGAAGCUUUUGUAGUACCAGCCAAACUGAGUUUGCCAAUUGGGUCAAGGAUUUGUCUGUAAUUGCUGAAAUUUGCUGAGUCUGAAGUCACUGUUCAAAUAUUACAGACGUAUUUCAGAGUUCCAUCUCCUACAAGUGGAUCUCUGAAAACAAUCCCGUGUGUUUAUCCUCAAUGAAAUGUAACUUUAGUUUAUGGUUCAACAGUUAUUAGUACCAGAUCUGGAUUACACAGAACUACAAAUUGCAUCUUGACCCAGUAAAAAGCACGUGUAACACUACCCAGUUUGUUCAACGUAGAGAACAUACCAAACGUCAUUGUUUUGAGCCAGGUAUUGGAGAAUGGAAAAUACCUGAUCUGAUGUCAAUGACACUUUGUUGCUUGUUAAAAAUUUUUGAAUAAAAGAACAAACACAAUGAUUUAAAACUAAGUCAAUACAUUUUGCUUGAUGUGUCUGCAGUGUUUUGAUUCAGUAUUAGGAUCAAGAAGUUGGAAGGUGGGUACUGUUGAAACAUGGCCUGGACUGCAACAUGAUUCCUACUAACGCAUAAAGCUGUUAAGUCAAGUGUGCACUGGUGUUCUGAACAACUGAGAUGGCCAUCAGACGUAUGGACACAGCACAACAUCAGGGCUUAGCAGUCAUGCUGUAAAUACAGACAAUAUUUCUAACCAAAGGGCUAUUCAUAACAUGACUUAAGGUUAAAUCAAAGACAACUCUUUUCAUUCUGAGAUAAAAUAAUGACUUAAUUCUAAUGGGUCACCAGGAAUUUACAUACUGAUUAUCUUAUAAGUUUUGUUAGAUAAAUGUUGCUUAUAAGUAUUAGGGGUAUUUUUUAAAUGACUCUUUGAGAAAUAGCUAUUGUGAGGCAUCUUGAUUCUUUUUUUUUUUUUUUGUCUUGGUAAUAUAGGAAACAAACACAUUGAAUACUUAAGAUAACUGCAGAUCUCAGACUGUAUCAUGUUGAGUCUACACAAUUAACAUCACCUCUAAACAGAUAAAACUGACAUAAGAAAUACCUAGAAGAGCUAAGCUGGAAUUUCUGAAUGUUUACUCCCAGGG